GCCGGAGUGGCGGAAUUGGCAGACGCAGUGGAUUCAAAAUCCACCGGGGUAAAACCCGUGGGGGUUCAAGUCCCCCCUCCGGUA
rnacentral:tRNA from 1 species